UCCUACGGGUCUCAUCAUUAUUUAAUAUUUCUCAAUUUUUUAAACCCUGAAGCAGCAACGCCGCGUGGAGGAUGAAGGUUUUCGGAUUGUAAACUCCUUUUGUUAGAGAAGAUAAUGACGGUAUCUAACGAAUAAGCACCGGCUAACUCCGUGCCAGCAGCCGCGGUAAUACGGAGGGUGCAAGCGUUACUCGGAAUCACUGGGCGUAAAGAGCGCGUAGGCGGGAUAGCAAGUCAGAUGUGAAAUCCUAUGGCUUAACCAUAGAACUGCAUUUGAAACUGUUAUUCUAGAGUAUGGGAGAGGUA
rnacentral:rRNA from 1 species